rnacentral:rRNA from 1 species
UGAGGAAUAUUGGGCAAUGCCCGCAAGGGUGACCCAGCAACGCCGCGUGGAGGAUGAAUGUCGUAAGAUUGUAAACUCCUGUUAGAGGGGAAGAAUAGUACCGGUUGGACCGGUAUAUGACUGUACCCUCAGAGAAAGCCCCGGCUAACUACGUGCCAGCAGCCGCGGUAAUACGUAGGGGGCAAGCGUUGUCCGGAUUUACUGGGUGUAAAGGGCGCGCAGGCGGGAUAAAAAGUCAGUGGUGAAAUCCUACAGCUUAACUGUAGAACUGCCUUUGAUACUUUUAUUCUUGAGUUCGGGAGAGAGAGACGGAAUUCCAGGUGUAGUGGUGAAAUACGUAGAUAUCUGGAAGAACACCAGUUGCGAAGGCGGUCUCUUGGUCCGACACUGACGCUGAGGCGCGAAAGCGUGGGAGCAAACA